GUUACCUUGGAUGGCUGGUUAAAAAAGAUGAGUUUUUCUGGGAGUGAAGGGAUGAAUUUCUGCUCUUGGGAUUCAAUUUUAAGAAGCAGAGCUGGACACAAGUUGCUCCAAACAAGGCCCAGAGGCAGAAAAGAGCAACAGGGUCCUUCAAAUAAAAUUCCUUUAAGGACAGUAAAGUUUAAAUAUUGGGAGUGUAUGAGUGUAUCAAAGUUUGCUGGUCAUGGCACAGUCUGUACUUAAGGGAAAAUGCUCUGCAGGACUAAGCCACCUGGCUUUGUGUUUUUAUGAAGGGCUUUAAAGAGCAUGGUUGCACAGCGUUUGAUGACCUUGAACCUGCUACAUGUAGGUUCUGGACCUGGCAUUCUCCGGAGUCAGUAGGCACAAGAGCAGGCACUCAGCUUUGGAAUUAACACUCCAAGUCAGGAAGAAACUAAAGUCAUGUGCUACAUUAAAUUGCCCUAAGGAAGAAAUGAAAGCUCUGAACAGCAAGUGGAGCGAGGAGAGCAAGCCUGGCACCACUAGAUGGCGGAAGAGAACAAGGAGCGGCUCCCGGACGGCGGUCCCCGACCCCGCAGAGGGGGCUCCCGUUCCCAAGAAAGGAAUGACAGUCAGGACGCCAUGGGAGAAGGCGAGGGUGGGAUGA